rnacentral:rRNA from 1 species
UACGUAGGGGGCAAGCGUUGUCCGGAAUCAUUGGGCGUAAAGCGCGCGUAGGCGGCCCGGUAAGUCCGUUGUGAAAGUCAAAGGCUCAACCUUUGAACGCCGAUGGAUACUGCCGGGCUAGAGUCCGGAAGAGGCGAGUGGAAUUCCUGGUGUAGCGGUGAAAUGCGCAGAUAUCAGGAGGAACACCAAUGGCGAAGGCAGCUCGCUGGACGUGACUGACGCUGAGACUCGAAAGCGUGGGGAGCAAACAGG